rnacentral:rRNA from 1 species
AGUGAACGCUGGCGGUAGGCCUAACACAUGCAAGUCGAACGGCAGCACAGUAAGAGCUUGCUCUUACGGGUGGCGAGUGGCGGACGGGUGAGGAAUACAUCGGCAUCUACUUUUUCGUGGGGGAUAACGUAGGGAAACUUAUGCUAAUACCGCAUAUGACCUACGGGUGAAAGCAGGGGAUCUUCGGACCUUGCGCGAUUGAAUGAGCCGAUGUCGGAUUAGCUAGUUGGCGGGGUAAAGGCCCACCAAGGCGACGAUCCGUAGCUGGUCUGAGAGGAUGAUCAGCCACACUGGAACUGAGACACGGUCCAGACUCCUACGGGAGGCAGCAGUGGGGAAUAUUGGACAAUGGGCGCAAGCCUGAUCCAGCCAUACCGCGUGAGUGAAGAAGGCCUUCGGGUUGUAAAGCCCUUUUGUUAGGAAAGAAAAGCAGCGGAUGAAUACCCCGCUGUUCUGACGGUACCCAAAGAAUAAGCACCGGCUAACUUCGUG